rnacentral:rRNA from 1 species
UACGAGUGCCUCAAGCGUUAUCCGGAAUCAUUGGGCGUAAAGGAUGUGUAGGUGGUCGUGUUAGUCUUUUGUUAAAUUCUUCGGCUUAACCGGGGGCAUGCAAGGGAAACGGCACGACUAGAGGAUGCGAGGGGUUUCUGGAACUCAUAGUGUAGCGGUGAAAUGCGUUGAUAUUAUGGGGAACACCAAAAGCGAAGGCAAGAAACUGGAGCACUCCUGACACUGAAACAUGAAAGCGUGGGUCGCGAAUGGG